ensembl:lncRNA
GGAAGUUCAACAUUGUUUUUUUCAGUAAAUAAGACAAGCCUAUGAAAUACUGGGAGAGUGUAGUCUGGUCAGAUGAGAGGAAAAGUGAACUUUUUGGCCAUCAUACUACACACCAUGUUUGGAGAAGAAAUGGCACUGCACAUCACCCUAAAAACACUGUGUGUAAUAUCAUACAUACAUACAUACACACCUAUAUCUGUAUAUAUAUGCUUAAGUGUUUUUACAGGCAGCCAGUUAACAUAAACUAAGGAGGAUGUUUGUCAUAUUUGGCUAAACAUCUUAGUGUUAUCAUGAAACUACCUUUUUGCACCAGGUGCUAUUCAAACUUCUAAAGGACAUCUUGGAGUUUAUAUAAGGGCUUGAACACCUACUGGUCUGCAUGCAUACCUUCUACCAAAAUCAAGCUCUAUGGUGUUAAUCAGUGAAUACUCACAUUAUUUCAUAAAUGCUAGAUUUAUUUCUUAUAGUUAGGUUUGGUUUCCAUACAUUAAACAUUUUGGGCAGGAAAAAAGCAGUCGCAGGAAUUGAUCUUCUUUGACAUUUUAAUAAUAAUUUUGUUACUUUCUAAAUAAGAGGAUCUGCACAAAAUUACAGCAACGUAAAGAACAUGAACACAAAAAUAGAGUGAGGCUAAAAGGCUUACCUAUUUAAAAAAUAAAUAGUAGCUGAAUGUUGGGGAUGUGAGGCCUGACGGUGAAGUUCAGCGUUUCAUUGAAUUCAACUACUACUUUAAUCUACAUUUUCACACUCAGUGAAUGUGGUGUCACAUUUUCCAUUGAUAAAUAGCUUUAUAUAGAGAGUGUAGACGUGGCCUGUGUAUACAUUUACAGCAUGUCAGGUAUACACAUAUUUUACAGAAACUCAACCAUUAUGAUUUAGUAAUGUAGACUAUUUUACCUACAAAAUCAUAAAAGAUGUAUCUUUAGAUCUUACAGUCACAGAUUUCAGGAUGUAUUGUUGAAACUCACAACCAAGGAGAUUCAUAAAUAUAAAUAUUGCUUCUUAAGGAAUCAGAUAAAUGUACAUAUUUCAUCUCAUUUAAAUAUUUCUAAAACACAAUUUGGCAAACCGCACCAUUUCAGUCCCAUAACUUUUAUAAAAUUCCAUACAUUUCUAUAGAAAUCAUUAAAAAUACUGUGCUUUAAGUUUUUGCUGUUGUACUCUAUUGUAAAAUAAUCUCUAUUUAAAAAGGGUCGACACAAAGCAGUGUGACUCGGGCAGCAAGUUUCCUUUCCACUCUCAACAAGUAAUAAUAAUAAUAAUGAUAAUAAUAAUAAUAAACCAUAGGAUAACUCUAAAAUCAUUCACUCACGGCCCAUCUGGACAUUCACACACAAACACACACUUUUUAAAAUAUUACAGGGAUGGAAUAAAGGUGGAGGAAUGUUUAGAAUCAAAAUCAAAGAAUCUAAAAACUGAACGAAUUAAAAAUUAACAAUUCAAAAUCGUCAUUUGUCCUGUGUCUUGGAGAACUCUGCUAAGUAGGAAACAUUUUUAAUAAAGAAAUAAAGACUGUCACAGACUUACACUCCUUUCCAGACUUUCUUUCGCCUUGUCUUUAUCUAAACUCCCUUAUCUGUUUUUCUCUCUUUCUCUUUCUCUCGAAGUGUCUCCUUCUAUCUCUUCCACUUCAUAUAUAUGCCACCUUUUUAUCCUCCCACUCUGUCUUUCUUUCUCUCGCCCUGUGGUCUCCUCUUUCUAUAAAUCUCAACCUCACUUAUGUAAAACGAUAA